GGGACAUCCGGGCAGGGGCAGCUGCAGGGCUGGAGCCCCCACUCCAAAGUCAUGGCUAGAGUUGAGCAUGAGUCGGGGAGAACUGACUCUCCUUCCCGCCACGCCUCCCAGCCUGGGCGGAUGGAGCUCGGCCAACUGUACCACAGUGGAUCUGUGCCCCGACUUUGGAUGCUAGGCAGGCUGUGCCUUCAUCACCCGCCAGGAAAGGAGGCUGGCAUUGACUGGGCGCUGCUGUGUGCAUGGAGCUGUGCAUCCGAGGUCCCUUUGCUACCGCUCCUGGCCCUGGAGGAGGGGAGGGCCUCGUCCGCACCUCCCAGGGAAGGAAGCAACUCCAGGAAAUGUCAGGCCGGAGUUUCAACUGAAACCACGCCGAGGAAGAUGCCAGGGAGGGCACAACCCCAGUGCUUCACAGGUGGUUGUUGAGCUGUCACAGGACCCUGUGGUCACCAUGCGUGGGGCCAUGUGACAGAAAAGAGAGGCAGGGACCAGGAACUGGAGCUCCUAGGCUCGUGAUCCGGAGUCCAGCGCUUACCAGUGAAGACACAAGUACGAGCCACCAGUGACCUUUCCAGACUCACUUUCUCACCUGUCAAAUGGGCAGGUCACCCUGAUCUCCCAGGGCCCUUCCCUCUCUUUGGCCUUCUCCUGUUCACCCCUCUGGCAUAUCAGUUACUUUUGCUGCAUCCUCAGCCACCCUGCAGUUAACGGGUGCAGAGCAGCAGCAAUCACUUAGGGUGAUUUUUGUUUGUUCUUUUAGAGAUGGUCUCACUAUGUAGGUCAUAGAUGGCCUCGAACUUUCCUCCUACUUCCUGCCUCAGCCUCCCAAGUGCUGGGAUUACAGGUGUAUGCCAUCAUACCUGGCUUAUCGUGAUUAUUACCACUAUGGGCUCAGUUCUCUGGUUCUCACUGGGUUUCUCCCAUUCUCAGGGCCAUCCGGUGCAAGGAAAGGAGACAGAGACCUUACUCUUGAUGGAAGCCAGGUGUGUGUGUUGUGUGUGUGUGUGUGUGAGCAUCUUUGGAAUCACUACCUGCCACAGUUUGCUCUAGGCCUCUGAAAUCACAGUGAUUCACAUCCUCCCCUGUUGUGGCUGAAUUGCCCUCCCAUCUUGUGUGGAAGCCUUAACCCCCAGUACCUGAGGAUGCAAUUGUAUCUGAGGCUAGGGUCUUGAAACAGGUGACUAAAUUGCAUGGAGCCAUUAGGGUGAGUCCCAAUUCAACGUGACUGGUGUCUUUCUGAGAAGAGGAGACCACGUGAAGACAGGGGAGCGGACACCAUCUACAAGCCCAGGAGAGAGGCUCUGGAGAAACCAACCCUGCCACAACUUCACUGCAGACUUCUGACCUCCAGAAUGGUUCUAGUCUCUGCUAUACUUCCUGUACCAAUGUCCUCAGGACAUGGAAAGUUCUUCAAAAGCAGAGGGUGUGCCUGUCUUGAUGACCACUCACUGUCCAUACUCAGCACAGAACAGGUAUUCCAAAAAAGAAAAGGGCUGGGGAUGUAUCUCAAUGUGAAGUCCUGGGCUCAAUCCCCAAUACUAUGGAAGAAAAUAAGAAACAAAGAAGGAAAGAAAGGAAGAGUAAGUGCGUGAGCAUGUCUAAGGGAGAAAGACCUGAUGGAGGUCACCUGAGGAGGUGACUUUUGGGCUGUGAUCUGAAGAAUCAGCUGAUAUUAACCAGGUGGAGAGAGAAUAGGCAGGUAGUGGAUUACCCAGAGCAAAGGCCCUGAGGCAGGAGGGAGCAUAACAGUGAUAAUAACAUGACAGUAUUAUUAUUAUUGUUAUUGGUAAUACGGCUUAGAUCCCUUGAGUACUUCCUAGGUGCUCAAGCCAGCAGUGAGCACUUAACUUGAAUGGUAUGAGUCUUUCAUCUGAAUGCCCCCAGGGGAGAGAUAUAACUAUAGCAGCCCCAGCUGUGCCCUGCCCAGAUUUCUGCUGCCCACCCUGGAGGUCCCUGAGGACGGUUUUGAUUUUGGUGGCGGCUUCCUGCAUUGCUUUGCAAGACUAAAGCUGUAUGUGCUAGGGGAGUUCGUGCUUCCCCCCAAAUCCCUCUACCACUGGCUGGUGGGAACUGGAGGACCCAGCUCCCUUGCCCCUGGAUGGCAGUACUGCCUGGUGAUGCCACUCAGGGGCUGCAGGGGGAGCCCGCCCACUAGCUUUCUGACUGCCCUGUCUCACUGCCCCUUGUGCUUGCAGGGUCGCCUCCCACCACCUCCCGUCGUUGCUGAACACCUGCCUCAGGCUCUGCCUAUGGAGGGACCAAAACUAAGACACUAUUAAUAUUCCAUUAACUAGAUGGGGGGAAACUGAGGCACAAAGAAGUUACUGUAGAGUGAGGAAAGGAAGAACUGAAAGAAAUUCCUUGAAACUAAAACAUUAAGUGUAUGUGGUGGCGGCGGCGGGGGAAUAUGGGACAGAUGAGGCCUGUGAGGUAGGCAUGAAGGCCUUGCCACGGCCUGGCCAGGGCCAGGUGGGUCACUAGGCUAAGGCCACAGGAGAUCUUGUGACUAAUAUGAGCUGAUAUUACAGAGGUCUGAGCAGGUGCUAAAAAGCUGGCUAGGGGGCUUUGGUGGUCAUUCUAGGGGACUCACCAGGGCAGGGCCACCGACUUUAGUGUGUUGCCGAGUUUGGGGGCCAAAGGCCUGGCUCUGGGAGUCCUGAGGCCAGGCCUGGCCACCUGUCCAGUGGCGUUAAUGAUGAGCAGAAGGUGGUGAAGAACGG
rnacentral:lncRNA from 1 species